GACAGUUGAAGAAGCCGGGUUACCAUUCCUUAAAGCACCACAGUGGGGCAAAGAAAAGGGGCAGUUUUUUUGCUGGAAGACUUCAAACAAAAUCACUGUGAAAAUAUUGAGACUAAAUUUUGACCUUUCUUGAUUUAUGACAUUUAGGUGCCCCGUGCUGGUGGAGGAGACGUGAUAAACCAGCGUAAUGCAUGUUAGCGGUAAAUGCUGUGAUGAAAAAUAGAGUGGCCUGCAGGGAGGCCUCUGAGGAGAUGUUGAAACAGGCCUGAGUGGAGGGAGAGGCUCUGGGAGCAUCUGGGGAGCCAGAAUGCCCAGAAUCUGGUGCGGAGGCCUUGCUGGGGCUGCCAGCCAGGCGUGCUGUCUUCAGGUCUUGUCUCCAGCUCAUCUGUGUGUGUAUCCCGGGCACUCCAGUUACCUUUCUGGUUUGAAGUUCCUAAUCUGAGAAGUCAGAGCUAAGGUUGCUGGUUGUGACUCACUCCAGCAUCAGUGUUUUCAUUACACCGGCGGGUCCUCAGUUUUCCUCCGGGGAUCAGCCACAUGGUGGUCUGUUCCCAUUGUCCCAACUGGGCUUUGAAGGCCACUCAUUGUGAGGUAGCAUGAUGUUUCUCAAUGAAAAAAAAAAAAUCUAAAAAAUAUUUGAGGCUCCUUUGACUG